AGGAGAUGUUCAAUUUUUGCAGGAAGCACUGUAGAGAUUGGGUUUUUAUUCAAGUGAAGAAGAUGUAGAAUAAUACUCAAACUUCUCAAGUGGGACAGAACUUGCAGUUAAAACUUGGCAAGCUUCAGUUGGUAUCCCUGAAGAGGGAAUUAUGACUUCUAAGCUUCAAGAGAGACUAUUUGCACCACAACAAGUAGAAACAGAUCUAAAAAUGAAUAAUUUAAUCCCUUGAAGAAGGUUUGUGCAGUUGUUCUUCUAGAUAGUAAAUGUUUCCUGUCAAUGUCCCCUUUCUACACUAAUAUUGCUAUCUAUCUGAUUCUGAAGCCAUUUGACUUGUUCCGAUUUCCAAACUGUAGCCAAUCUCAUCUGGCUUGUCCCGCCUAUUCAUAUACUGGAACACUCCCAAAAGUGAG